rnacentral:rRNA from 1 species
GAAAGGUGUGCUAAUACCGAAUGAUGCUGAUUGACCUUGGUCACUCAGCCAAAGAGAGCCUCUUCUUGAAAGCCCUCGCUGUUGGAUGAGUCCGCGUACCAUUAGCUUGUUGGUAGGGUAAUGGCCUACCAAGGCUGUGAUGGUUAGCUGGUCUGAGAGGAUGAUCAGCCACACUGGAACUGAGACACGGUCCAGACUCCUACGGGAGGCAGCAGUGAGGAAUCUUGCGCAAUGGGGGAAACCCUGACGCAGCAACGCCGCGUGAGUGAGGAAGGUUUUCGGAUCGUAAAGCUCUGUCAGUUGGAAAGAAACGCCUGUGGGUUAAUACCCCAUAGGUUUGACGGUACCAACAAAGGAAGCACCGGCUAACUCCGUGCCAGCAGCCGCGGUAAUACGGGGGGUGCAAGCGUUGUUCGGAAUUAUUGGGCGUAAAGAGCGUGUAGGCGGCCUGAUGUGUCAGAUGUGAAAGCCCUGGGCUUAACCCAGGAAGUGCAUUUGAAACUGUCAGGCUUGAGUAGGGGGAGGGGGAAGUGGAAUUCCUGGUGUAGAGGUGAAAUUCNUANAUAUCAGGAGGAACACCGGUGGCGAAGGCGACUUCCUGGCCCUAUAC